UACGAAGGGGGCGAGCGUUGUUCGGAAUUACUGGGCGUAAAGGGCGCGCAGGCGGCUCUGAAAGUCAGAUGUGAAAGCCCCGGGCUUAACCUGGAUGAUGCAUUUGAUACUCUGGAGCUUGAGUACGGGAGAGGAGAGUGGAAUUCCCAGUGUAGAGGUGAAAUUCGUAGAUAUUGGGAAGAACACCGGUGGCGAAGGCGGCUCUCUGGACCGUAACUGACGCUGAGGCGCGAAAGCGUGGGGAGCAAACAGG
rnacentral:rRNA from 1 species